UGAAUACGAGACGCUAAGGCGUCGAAGUAGUGUAUGUCAUACUUCCAAGAAAAGCUUGCACUGUCAUAGAUAAAAAACGCCUGUACCAUAACCGACACAGGUGGGUAGGUAGAGUAUACUAAGGGGCGCGAGAUAACUCUCUCUAAGGAACUCGGCAAAAUAACUCCGUAACUUCGGGAGAAGGAGUGCCUUAUUCGUAAGGUUGCAAUAACAAGAUCCAAGCAACUGUUUAUCAAAAACACAGGUCUCCGCUAAGUCGUAAGACGAUGUAUGGGGGCUGACGCCUGCCCAGUGCCAGAAGGUUAAAGAAGUUGGUUAGCAAUUGCGAAGCUGAUAACUGAAGCCCUGGUGAACGGCGGCCGUAACGAUAACGGUCCUAAGGUAGCGAAAUUCCUUGUCGGGUAAGUUCCGACCCGCACGAAAGGCGUAAUGAUUUGGAUACUGUCUCGGAGAGGGGCUCGGUGAAAUAGACUUGUCUGUGAAGAUGCGGACUACCUGCACCAGGACAGAAAGACCCUAUGAAGCUUUACUGUAACUUGAAAUUGAAAUUGGACUUUAUUCGCGCAGUAUAGGUGGGAGGCGUUGAUUAUAAUCUUGUGGGAUUAUUGGAGCCAUCAGUGAGAUACCACUCUUGUAAUGUUAGAUUUCUAACUUUGAAUCAUUAUCUGGUCAAAGAACAGUUUCAGGCGGGCAGUUUGACUGAGGCGGUCGCCUCCUAAACGGUAACGGAGGCGUACAAAGGUUUCCUCUGAACGGUUAGAAAUCGUAUCUAGAGUGUAAAGGCAUAAGGAAGCUUGACUGUGAGACCUACAAGUCGAGCAGGGACGAAAGUCGGUCUUAGUGAUCUGACGGUACUGAGUGGAAAGGCCGUCACUCAACGGAUAAAAGUUACUCUAGGAUAACAGGCUGAUCUCCCCCAAGAGUUCACAUCGACGGGGAGGUUUGGCACCUCGAUGUCGGCUCAUCGCAUCCUGGGGCGGUAGUACGUCCCAAGGGUUGGGCUGUUCGCCCAUGAAAGCGGUACGCGAGCUGGGUUCAGAACGUCGUGAGACAGUUCGGUCCAUAUCCGGUGUAGGCGUUAGAAUAUUGAGAGGAGCCUUCUUUAGUACGAGAGGACCGAGAAGGACAUACCUCUGGUGUACCAGUUAUCGUGCCAACGGUAAACGCUGGGUAGCUAUGUAUGGAGUGGAUAACCGCUGAAAGCAUCUAAGUGGGAAGCCCACCUCAAGAUAAGUAUCCUCA
rnacentral:rRNA from 1 species